rnacentral:snoRNA from 10 species
UAAACCAAUGAUGAUGUUUCAUGAAGCAGAGAACAUGAUUAAUCCAAUUAGGUUCAUU